AUAGAACACUGGACAUGGAAAAAGAUGCUUCGAGUUUUGCUUUUCAAGGAGAAAACAGGCUCAAUUUCCCAUGUAUGUUUUCCUGCCAGAACGACUAACAACAGGAUUGCCAAGGGAUUCCCAAGUGGUCUAUUUCAUUUAAGUAGUA